rnacentral:misc_RNA from 1 species
GAUGAAGAACGUAGCGAAAUGCGAUAAGUAGUGUGAAUUGCAGAAUUCAGUGAAUCAUCGAAUCUUUGAACGCACAUUGCGCCCUUUGGUAUUCCUUAGGGCAUGCCUGUUCGAGCGUCAUUUAAACCUUCAAGCUCAGCUUGGUGUUGGGUGACUGUCCGCUUCACCGCGGACUCGCCUCAAAAUUAUUGGCGGCCGGUACAUUGGCUUCGAGCGCAGCAGAAACGCGAACUCGGGCCCGUCGUAUUGGCUCCCAGAAGCUAUCUUCACAAUUUUGACCUCAGAUCAGGUAGGGAUACCCGCUGAACUUAAGCAUAUCAAUAAGCGGAGGA